CAUUGUCAAAUUUUUUUAUAUCCGUAAAAUAGAUUUAGAAUAUAUAUUUGUAUAGUUUUAUUAUCUUAUUUGUGAUAAAAUGUCAGACAGAUCGUGUUGCCGGUGAUCAUAUGUUCGGUGUUCAUGGACAAUGUGCUGUUGCUGUUGUUGCGGCUUUUGGGAGAAGGUCGUUAAUUGGUUAUACUGUAUCGGCUCAUAUUUGGGAUGCUUCCGAGUUCAGUGCAGAUGUCAGAAAUGCGACGACGAGGACGACAGCUUAAUUAUAUUGGCAACAUAUUAUGAUUCAUCCUUAAAGUUGGACAGCGAUGAUAAAGAUCAAUUGUUUCGUGAAGUCGGAUUUCAUUCCCCGUGGAGAAAGGACACAAAGAAAAUAUAAAGUAGUUGUGAUUGCCACAAAGCAACUAUUUCGCCCGGUUUUUAAAGGUCAAUAAAUUAAAUUUAUGAUUAUAUUAAUUUUCGUUUACUGUCAUAAAUUAUUAGGGUCGAUAUAAUUCGAAUUUAUGAAUUCUAAACUCAUGACAAAAUAUGUAAAAACACACGAAUUGAGAAUCUCUUUGAGGCAGUUGCCUGUAACGCUAUUCCAAGAAGACAGUAAUGCCUAGAGUCGUAAUUACGUUCCUUAGAAGCCUUUAGCCGAAUUAAUUUAGUGGCCAUUUAACCUAAAGCAAGGGUGAAUAUUUGUGGCGACAGAGUUCCACUAUCGGCAUCUUUUCAUGAUGCCGUCUCGAAGAGUUUAAAAACGAUUAUUUUGAUAGGCUGAGGCUUAAAUAAAAAGAUGGUCUUCAUCACCUUAUUUUGGGAGACAUGAGUAUGUGUUAAGACGGUGGAGAUUCGUUGGUACAACAUUUCAAAGACAACACUAAUGACAUAUCGCCUUUACCUUUUCUGUCCCAAAUUCUGUUUUGUUUGAUGACAUUUAUUGUUUUGACAAUGUCAAAAUUUUUGAUACACAUAAAACAGAUUUAGAAAAUGAUACAUUCCUACAGUUUUCUAUGGAUAUAUUUAUAAAUACGAGAUGUCUCGUAAAUCGCGGAGUCGAUGAUCGAAUGGUCGGUGUUUGAAGACAAUGUGUUUCUGUUGUUGUAACUUCUGGGAGAAGUGCGUGAAUUGGAUGUACUGUAUCGGUUACUGCUUGGGAUGUUUCCGCAUCUGCGGCUGCCAGAAAUGCGGCGACGACGACAAAAUCGACGACGAUAUUUUCGACAGAGAAUUAAAUUGCAGUAGUAUUAAUUA